UGACGAGCGGCGGACGGGUGAGUAAUGUCUGGGAAACUGCCUGAUGGAGGGGGAUAACUACUGGAAACGGUAGCUAAUACCGCAUAACGUCGCAAGACCAAAGUGGGGGACCUUCGGGCCUCAUGCCAUCAGAUGUGCCCAGAUGGGAUUAGCUAGUAGGUGGGGUAACGGCUCACCUAGGCGACGAUCCCUAGCUGGUCUGAGAGGAUGACCAGCCACACUGGAACUGAGACACGGUCCAGACUCCUACGGGAGGCAGCAGUGGGGAAUAUUGCACAAUGGGCGCAAGCCUGAUGCAGCCAUGCCGCGUGUAUGAAGAAGGCCUUCGGGUUGUAAAGUACUUUCAGCGGGGAGGAAGGCGAUAAGGUUAAUAACCUUGUCGAUUGACGUUACCCGCAGAAGAAGCACCGGCUAACUCCGUGCCAGCAGCCGCGGUAAUACGGAGGGUGCAAGCGUUAAUCGGAAUUACUGGGCGUAAAGCGCACGCAGGCGGUCUGUCAAGUCGGAUGUGAAAUCCCCGGGCUCAACCUGGGAACUGCAUUCGAAACUGGCAGGCUAGAGUCUUGUAGAGGGGGGUAGAAU
rnacentral:rRNA from 1 species